rnacentral:rRNA from 1 species
UACGUAGGGGGCAAGCGUUGUCCGGAUUUACUGGGCGUAAAGAGCGCGUAGGCGGACGUUUAAGUGUGGCCUGAAAGCCCCCCGGCUCAACCGGGGAUCCGGGUUGCAAACUGGACGUCUUGAGGGGGAUAGGGGAAGGUGGAAUUCCUGGUGUAGCGGUGAAAUGCGUAGAGAUCAGGAGGAACACCGGUGGCGAAGGCGGAUCUCUGGGCCAUUACUGACGCUGAGGAGCGAAAGCGUGGGGAGCGAACAGG